UAGCCACAGCGGCAUCGGCUGAGACCUUCAUCCUGAUUGUUCCUUGGGUGCUGUUUAGUGCCAGCCACUGAAGAGAACCUCCUUGUUUCCACCCACGUGGCCCCAUCUGGUUUCAGGGCCUCCUCUGUGCUAUUUUGGGGUGCGAGGAGAUCAUUUUUCAACGCCUACAGCAUGGCGGGACUGGGAACUCCACAGCCUCCGCAACACUUUUCGUGCCGCCAUUUCUUCUCAGGGUCUUGCCGCCUUUCUCAAGCUCAGCCUGUGGAGUAAAGCGCAGGCACAUCUCUCAGAGACGAGGUCCAUUAUAUUGCCCAGGCUGGUCUCAAGCUCCUGGGCUCAGGUGAUCCUCCCACCUUGGCCUCCCCAAAUGCUGGAAUUACAGUUAUUGCUUGAUGGAUUCUGCUAACUCCCAGGAGAAUCCAAGUGG